AAACGUAGGAGGCGAGCGUUAUCCGGAUUUACUGGGUGUAAAGCGCGUGCAGGCGGUAAGCUAAGUUGGGUGUGAAAGCUCCUGGCUCAACUGGGAGAGGUCGCUCAAGACUGGCUAACUCGAGGAUGGUAGGGGAAGGUGGAAUUCCGGGUGUAGUGGUGAAAUGCGUAGAUAUCCGGAGGAACACCAGUGGCGAAGGCGGCCUUCUGGACCAUCACUGACGCUCAGACGCGAAAGCUAGGGUAGCAAACGGGAUUAGAGACCCCGGUAGUCCUAGCCGUAAACGAUGUGAACUUGGCGCUGGUCGGGUAAAACUGAUCCGUGCCGCAGCAAACGCGAUAAGUUCACCACCUGGGGACUACGGCCGCAAGGUUAAA
rnacentral:rRNA from 1 species